GACGUAGGGGGCCAGCGUUGUUCGGAAUUACUGGGUGUAAAGGGUUCGUAGGCGGUGUGGCGAGUCGGGAGUGAAAUCUCUGGGCUCAACUCAGAGACUGCUUCCGAAACUGCUGUGCUGGAGUGUGGGAGAGGCGCGUGGAAUUGCAGGUGUAGCGGUGAAAUGCGUAGAUAUCAGGAGGAACACCGGUGGCGAAGGCGGGUCUCUGGGCCGAUACUGACGCUGAGGAGCGAAAGCGUGGGGAGCAAACAGG
rnacentral:rRNA from 1 species